rnacentral:lncRNA from 1 species
AUUCUCUUGAAACUUAGAGCAACAGAACUUUGGAUGUCAUCAAGAUUGUUAGGCACAUUAUCCUGCAUGUCUGACUCUUCAGGUUUAUCAAAAAUUGGACUCAUCUGAAAUGGCAAGGUAAGUGGGUUGUUUUUGCUGUGCUACGCCGUCUACUAGAUGUUCGUCUAUUGGAUGUUCACAUUCACCUUGUUGGUCUUCAGCAACUUGUUUGGCAUCUUGUUCAGUAAAUAUUUCAUUUUUAUGCAGUUUUCUAUCGAGAGCCUGUGAGCCAGGUUCUUCAACAUUGUAUUCUUCUCCCUCUGCAAAAAGCAAAUGCAGCUCCACGUCUUCGCCUCCUAUCAUUUCAGGAAUAGCAGAUUAU